GACGAACGCUGGCGGCGUGCUUAACACAUGCAAGUCGAACGGAAAGGCCCUGCUUUUGUGGGGUGCUCGAGUGGCGAACGGGUGAGUAACACGUGAGUAACCUGCCCUUGACUUUGGGAUAACUUCAGGAAACUGGGGCUAAUACCGGAUAGGAGCUCCUGCUGCAUGGUGGGGGUUGGAAAGUUUCGGCGGUUGGGGAUGGACUCGCGGCUUAUCAGCUUGUUGGUGGGGUAGUGGCUUACCAAGGCUUUGACGGGUAGCCGGCCUGAGAGGGUGACCGGCCACAUUGGGACUGAGAUACGGCCCAGACUCCUACGGGAGGCAGCAGUGGGGAAUAUUGCACAAUGGGCGGAAACCUGAUGCAGCAACGCCGCGUGCGGGAUGACGGCCUUCGGGUUGUAAACCGCUUUCGCCUGUGACGAAGCGUGAGUGACGGUAAUGGGUAAAGAAGCACCGGCUAACUACGUGCCAGCAGCCGCGGUGAUACGUAGGGUGCGAGCGUUGUCCGGAUUUAUUGGGCGUAAAGGGCUCGUAGGUGGUUGAUCGCGUCGGAAGUGUAAUCUUGGGGCUUAACCCUGAGCGUGCUUUCGAUACGGGUUGACUUGAGGAAGGUAGGGGAGAAUGGAAUUCCUGGUGGAGCGGUGGAAUGCGCAGAUAUCAGGAGGAACACCAGUGGCGAAGGCGGUUCUCUGGGCCUUUCCUGACGCUGAGGAGCGAAAGCGUGGGGAGCGAACAGGCUUAGAUACCCUGGUAGUCCACGCUGUAAACGGUGGGUACUAGGUGUGGGGUCCAUUCCACGGGUUCCGUGCCGUAGCUAACGCUUUAAGUACCCCGCCUGGGGAGUACGGCCGCAAGGCUAAAACUCAAAGGAAUUGACGGGGCCCCGCACAAGCGGCGGAGCAUGCGGAUUAAUUCGAUGCAACGCGUAGAACCUUACCUGGGUUUGACAUGGAUCGGGAGUGCUCAGAGAUGGGUGUGCCUCUUUUGGGGUCGGUUCACAGGUGGUGCAUGGCUGUCGUCAGCUCGUGUCGUGAGAUGUUGGGUUAAGUCCCGCAACGAGCGCAACCCUUGUUCACUGUUGCCAGCACGUUAUGGUGGGGACUCAGUGGAGACCGCCGGGGUCAACUCGGAGGAAGGUGGGGAUGACGUCAAGUCAUCAUGCCCCUUAUGUCCAGGGCUUCACGCAUGCUACAAUGGCUGGUACAGAGAGUGGCGAGCCUGUGAGGGUGAGCGAAUCUCGGAAAGCCGGUCUCAGUUCGGAUUGGGGUCUGCAACUCGACCUCAUGAAGUCGGAGUCGCUAGUAAUCGCAGAUCAGCAACGCUGCGGUGAAUACGUUCCCGGGGCU
rnacentral:rRNA from 1 species